rnacentral:rRNA from 1 species
GAUGAACGCUGGCGGCGUGCCUAAUACAUGCAAGUCGAGCGAACAGACGAGGAGCUUGCUCCUCUGACGUUAACGGCGGACGGGUGAGUAACACGUGGAUAACCUACCUAUAAGACUGGGAUAACUUCGGGAAACCGGAGCUAAUACCGGAUAAUAUAUUGAACCGCAUGGUUCAAUAGUGAAAGACGGUUUUGCUGUCACUUAUAGAUGGAUCCGCGCCGCAUUAGCUAGUUGCUAAGGUAACGGCUUACCAAGGCAACGAUGCGUAGCCGACCUGAGAGGGUGAUCGGCCACACUGGAACUGAGACACGGUCCAGACUCCUACGGGAGGCAGCAGUAGGGAAUCUUCCGCAAUGGGCGAAAGCCUGACGGAGCAACGCCGCGUGAGUGAUGAAGGUCUUCGGAUCGUAAAACUCUGUUAUUAGGGAAGAACAAAUGUGUAAGUAACUAUGCACGUCUUGACGGUACCUAAUCAGAAAGCCACGGCUAACUACGUG